rnacentral:lncRNA from 1 species
UUCUAAGAGCUCUGAGCCAGAUGUCAGAAAACAUCAUUGGAGCAUUCACACAGUCUUACUCAUUGAUGAUGUGAGCUUGGCUGUUAAUGGUUUUCAAGGGGAGACUCUGUUCUGCUAGCUGAGAAGUCCUUAUAUUCACAACAAAAGCUACUUUCAUGUUAAUACAUCCCUGCUACCAACAGUAAUAUUUGUGCUUCCAACCUGGCACCACACAGGUUGGCCUGGUCAAGGCAGACAAGAUUCCAAGAAGUCAGCUGGGAGCUGCAAGAUUACUACUGAGCUCUUCAUGCCUUGGCAUAAUGGACCACAGCAUGAAACACUGCAGCAGAGAAAUCUUCCUAUAAGAAUUAAAUUGCAUCUCCUGGUUAUUAUUACAGCUUAAUGACUGCAAGAGGCGGAACCACAAAGGAAUAGACUCCCAAAAUGGAAAAGAUAAAGAAUCGAGAAAUUUCAUGCAGAGAAGACAAAGCUCAUUUUGCUGGCAUGACUGCAGUGCUGACACUGGAAGACAAUGGGAAUCUAAAGAAUUUCUUUCUGUGAUUCACAUGAGAAAACUGCCUUAGAGACCAGCAUACUGAUCUCAGAAGGAGCAGGAGUGGACCUUUAGCCCUCAGGGGCAUUUUGGAAAUUUAUUUAUAAAGAUCUACAGCCAACUGAUUAACUUCAGUGGUGAAGACUGAGAUGCUGGAAGUAGCUCAUCGCUAGAGCCAGGUUGGAGGCCAGAGAUGUUUCUGAUGUGUUUGUGGCCCCUGCAUGGGAUCCUGCCAUACAAAAAAGGUCAAUGCAAACAUAUCAGGUACAACAGGAAAAAAGGACUUCAAAGGCAGAAAUACGGCAGUGUCUCACAGCCUGCUGCUUCUCAGGAAGAGGGGCUUCGGGUCCGUGAAGCCAGGAGGAGCCAGGCUGUAAGCUGGCACCAGUUCACCCGUGGUCAUUCUGCACACUUACUAUCGGGUAUCUCAGAAGAGAUGAGCUGCUGGUGGCUUAUUUUGUGCUGGAAUAUCUCCUGGCAUGCAGUUAUGCAAAGACCCAGAGUACCGGUCUAA